ACCCCAGGAGCUCGUCAAGAGAAAGGAGCUGGCACCUUGAACCAAAUCUGAUGAGAACCGAAACAAAUAAUGACAGAGAAGCGUCCACUGAAUCCGGCAACGUGGACGUUACUAACAAACACGACAGCUAUUUUAGGGAGGAACAGUGCCAUCCGGGAGGUUUUCCUGUGUAGAAACAAGGGUGUCCGUGACCCAGACAGAGACAAGAGCCAUGAGUUUAAGACAGAUGCUACCUCUUCACUGUUCAGUGGAAGAGGCAGAAAACACAGAUUUCUGGCUUUUAUCGACCAAUCAGUGCUCUGGUGAGCCUGGGGAAAUGACUGCUCCGAUUGGAGUAGGUGAACACAAUCUCUGCGGGCCUGCCUGCUCCAAUUUCCAGACCCCUCCCGGCUGACUCGGCUCCUCUGUAUGACCUGACCUUGCACUCGUGUUUCCAACUUACCACAGAAGCGCUCUUUCUAAACUGAGGCGAUCUUUUCUUUUUGCUUUAAUCUCACCAAAGAAACUCUCUGAUUGCGAUUCACAUGUAGACUGACUACAGGCAGAGCAUGAAUGGACCUAGGUUUUCAGUUCCUCCUGCUCACAAGUUAUCGCUUAUGGAACAUUAUUAAAUUGGCAUUCUUGUUUGGAUUUUACUUGUUGCCGUUCAGUCCCUCGGGACCUGCGGAAAUGUGAACACCAGCCGGAGGUUGCCCUUGGCCUUCUAAGUCGAGAACAAGCAGCUUCCAGUCAAGACCCUCCCCGGCCUUCUCUGUCCCGGCCACGCAGUCAUGAGACCACACUGGCACGACUCCUAUCCCCAGAGAAGCAAGGAUAGUUGAGGAAGAGUCAAUACAAAGCAAGAGUCAAUACAGAGAGGAUGUUUACGGAGGAGCAAAGUGGGUAGAAAUGCUACCAUAAAUGGAAGUUGAUGCCUUGCUCCCCAAGCACUCAAACAGUGGAGAAAAAAAGAUUGGGGAAGAAAGAAAGGAAUCAUGGAAGACAGAAGCAGGGACAUGACCAGAAAGUUCUGAUUGAAAAAUGGAGAAAAAGAUAACCCCAGGAAAGGUUACAUAGAAUGGCAAGUCAAACUGCCCAGGUUUCUUCUUGUGAUAUGUUAGAUCUAAACAGUGUAGGGUUCAAUUUGUUGUUGUUGUUGUUGUUGUUGUUUUAAUAGUUCAGUUUAGGGUCAAGAGACCUUGAGCUUAAUGGGGAUUUCCUGUGUCAUAAUAGUUAUUUACAAAUCUGGUACCACUUAGUAAUUAAUCUAUUUAAAUUGCCUCUUUGAGAAGUAUAAAUGAAUACAAAUACAAUUAAAUCUACGA